rnacentral:rRNA from 1 species
UACAGGGGGUGCAAACGUUGCUCGGAAUCAUUGGGCGUAAAGCGCACGUAGGCGGUUCGUUAUGUCGGAUGUGAAAGCCCUUGGCUUAACCGAGGAAGUGCAUCCGAAACUGGCGAGCUAGAGUACUAAAGAGGAUCGCGGAAUUCCCGGUGUAGAGGUGAAAUUCGUAGAUGUCGGGAGGAACACCGGUGGCGAAGGCGGCGAUCUGGGUAGAUACUGACGCUGAGGUGCGAAAGCGUGGGGAGCAAA